rnacentral:rRNA from 1 species
UACGUAGGGUGCGAGCGUUAAUCGGAAUUACUGGGCAUAAAGCGUGCGCAGGCGGUUUUGUAAGCCAGAUGUGAAAUCCCCGGGCUUAACCUGGGAAUGGGCAUUUGGGACUGCAAGGCUCGAGUGCGGCAGAGGAGACUGGAAUUCCUGGUGUAAGCAGUGAAAUGCGUAGAUAUCAGGAGGAACACCGGUGGCGAAGGCGGGUCUCUGGGCAGUGAACUGACGCUGAGGAGCGAAAGCGUGGGGAGCGAACAGG